CCAGAUCAGAAGAUAAUCGCGCUUGGCCGCAAGGCUUGAGUGAGGAAAGUCCGGACAGCAUAGAGCAAGAUGGUUGCUAACGGCAACCGCAGGUGACUGUAGGGAAAGUGUCACAGAAACGAUACCGCCGACCGCAAGGUAUGGUAAGGGUGAAACGAGUGGGGUAAGAGCCCACAGCUGAUACAGGUGACUGUAUCGGGUGGUAAACCCCAUCUGCUGCAAGGCAUGCCAAAACAGGUUCAUCGCAAGGUGAAUGAGUUGCUCGCUCGUUUUGGCGAUAGACCGCCUGAGAUAUAUGGCAACAUAUAUCCUAGAUAGAUGAUUAUCCUUUGACAGAAUCCGGCUUACCCCUGGUCUGGCAGC
rnacentral:RNase_P_RNA from 1 species